rnacentral:lncRNA from 1 species
UUGUCUGUUCCACAGUUCUAAUCUAUUUUUUCUUACUCUAGAAAGUGUAUUUUACUUUUGUCUAUCUCCUUUUCAGCUUCUGUAUGGUAAGGAUUUAUAGAAGAGGCUGUAAAAUUUGCUGUCCCUAACUAUACCCCAUAAAAAGUGUGUAUCAAGUACAGUUUAGUCUAUUCAUCUCUAACUAUGAACAUGCCACAAUUAUUUUCAACUGCCAUUCUACAGAAGCUCACGUGCUGGGAAAUCAUAAGCCUGAUGGUAGAACAUGCACAUUUUCUAAGAUUAAGGCAAAGCUCUGGAUUGUGUCUAAUUCAUCAUUCUACCAUCUGUUUAACAUGGAUUUAUCACUAGUUACUGGCUUGGAGGAAAGUGGAUCCUGAAGGUUUUGGUUGAUGACCAUCAUCAAGGUGAACAGUUAUCUCCCACUGAGCUAAAGCACUAUAAUGAAGAUGCAGCUUGAGAAUAAUUCAGGACAUUACAUAGGCUGGUCUCUUUUCCUCAAAUACAUUGAGGAACGUGAGUAUAGAAAAGAGGGAGCAGACAUCUGGAUUACGGUGAUGUAACCACUUCUUCACAGAUGGAGGAUGAUAUAAUUAUUCCAGGAAUUUCUAUAUGUAUUGAUCAGCCAUUAAAAUAAAAAUCUACCCACCAUUUGCUUCA